rnacentral:rRNA from 1 species
GGACUACUGGGGUAUCUAAUCCCGUUCGCUCCCCUGGCUUUCGUCCAUCAGCGUCAGGUGCGCACCAGAAGGCUGCCUUCGCCUUUGGUGUUCCUCCGGAUAUCUACGCAUUUCACCACUCCACCCGGAAUUCCGCCUUCCUCUUACGCCCUCAAGUCGCGCAGUUUUCCGCAUCCUUGCUCAGUUAAGCCGAGCACUGUCACGCGAAACUUGCACGACCGCCUCCGGACCCUUUACGCCCAGUAAAUCCGGACAACGCUUGCCCCCUACGUAUUACCGCGGCUGCUGGCAC